UUUCAGCCGCACGACAAAAAUUUGGGCAUUCCUGCCUCUCAACCGCUGCAAGUCUGAAACCAUUCUUUGCCGUUCCAAAACCCAAGCCUCCGCCCAUCCCACUCUGCUUCACAGGGAAGAAGGCUUCAUUGGCGUCGACGUCGAGGUAAGAUCCCUUACCUUUCUUUAUGUUUGUUCGUAUAUAAAAUAAGAACAAAUCGAAGAAGACAACAAAGAAAAAAAAUAAAAUAAAAUCAAAAUCAAACGAAGUCGGAGAAUCACUUAAACGAUGUAUUCUUUCUUGUUUUUUGAAUUUUUUUUUGUAUUUUUGUCUUAUAAAAUCUUCGUAACCUCUUACAAAUUCUGUUUAAUGGCAUUAUAUAGCCGAAGAAAUGACAGAAUGAAAAUCAAAAGAAAAAAUACAGAAAAAUCUUGCACUAUUUACUGCCUUUUUCUUGCUAUCCCUUGCUGUUGUUUUGUCUGCUUCUGUUUAUUGCAGGUACGGAGGCCAGCUGGAGUGUACGGAGGCUCGCGUGGAUUUGGCACAGAGGCGCUACACGCGUGCGGACGCAACAUGCGCGAGGAGGAGGCCUGGCUCUGCUGCGGCGGUGGAGGCUGAAUGCUGCUAGGGUUUGCUGAUUUCUGGUUUAGGCUAGUUGGGCUAGGGUAUUGGGCUUAGGCUAAUCGGGUUUAGGCUAGUGGGUUAAUUGGGUUUGGUGGGUGUUUUGUAAUCUGGACAUUGGACUUUUAGUAUUUUUGUUUUUAUUAUUUAUAUUGGGCCGGGCAAUAUUGGGCCAUUACAAAAUCUAUGUAUAGUCAUAGCCUUACCCUGCAACUUGACCAUCAACAAAUCAUGGCCCCCGAUAAUUAACAAUGGAUAAAUUCAAGGACUUCACGAUUUGGUUCCUAUGUGCGGAAUAAGUAAGAACUCUACAGUUAGUCGGUCAUGAUCACCACUGUAAAGAAAUCUACAGUCAAUAGUAGGUAUUGAUACACAAACGCAUGUAUCAAUAUUUUGGGGAAAAUGUAUCGAUACGGGCAAGAAAAUCGAUACCAAACUAGCAUUGUGCCAAUUUUAAAUAAAAAUAUUUUAUUGAUACAUGAGUAAAGGUAUCGGUAUUUUUACCGCGAUUAUUGAUACUCGUUUUUGGGUAUCGAUACCAAAUUGAGCUACUGACUUCUCGAAAACACAUUUCAACUCUGAGGCAUCGAUAUCUAUGUUCCGAGUAUCGAUACCUCUGCCCAGGCUUGCAAAAACACAACAAAACUGACAUAAAUCACACUGAAACAUUUUCCUUAACAACAUGCAUCAAUAAUCUCAUCAUCCAACAUAAAAAAAAAAGUAUAAACAAUUCAAACAACAUCAAUAUUCCAGUUGUCCAAACCAAAAAUAAUAAUAAACAUCCAUCAACUCCUAAAAGUCUAAAUUCAUAAUAAGCCUUUAAAAACAUAAUAAUCAUCAGCCAAAAUCUCUAACCACAUUGCUUUUAUUCCCACAGUUCAAACAAUAAUAAUGUCACCUACUCAAUUUUCUAAAGCCUAACUUGGAUCACUUCUUUGGAAACCACUUCGCUCACAUCGGUAACGCUAAUUAUCUGCAAUGGUUUAAAAAGGGGUGUGUGAGCGUAAACAAGCUCAGUGAAUGAUCGAAAAAAUACUAAUAAACAUAAUAUCAUACCG
rnacentral:lncRNA from 1 species